UUCGACUUCAUGAAGCUGGAAUUGCUGUAAUGGCAGGUCAGCAUACUGCCGUGAAUACGUUCCCGGGCCUUGUACACACCGCCCGUCACACCAUGAGAGUUGGGAAUACCCGAAGCCUGUGAGCUAACUGUAAAGAGGCAGCAGUCGAAGGUAGAAUCAAUGAUUGGGGUGAAGUCGUAACAAGGUAAC
rnacentral:rRNA from 1 species